rnacentral:rRNA from 1 species
CCUACGUGGGACAGCAGUGGGGGAUAUUGCACAAUGGGGGGACCCUGAUGCAGCGACGCCGCGUGGGUGAAGGAGUGCUUCGGCAAGUAAAGACCUAUCGGCAGGGAAGAAGCAAGACGGUACCUGACUAAGAAGCCCCGGCUAACUACGUGCCAGCAGCCGCGGUAAGACGUAGGGGGCAAGCGUUAUCCGGAUUCACUGGGGGUAAAGGGAGCGUAGACGGCAAGGCAAGCCAGGGGUGAAAGGCCGGGGCCCAACCCCGGGACUGCCCUUGGAACUGGAAGGCGGGAGUGCGGGAGAGGCAGGCGGAAUUCUUGGUGUAGCGGUGAAAUGCGUAGAUAUCAGGAGGAACACCGGCGGCGAAGGCGGCCUGCUGGACCGCGACUGACGUUGAGGCUCGAAAGCGUGGGGAGCGAACAGGAUUAGAUACCCGGGUAGUC